GUGGGUGGCUCACAGGUUAAGAGUAUUGACUGUUCCUCCAAAGGACCUGGGUUCAAUUCCCUGCACCCACA
rnacentral:tRNA from 1 species